rnacentral:lncRNA from 1 species
AGUCCUUCGCCGUCCCUCGCCGUCCUUCGCCAUCGCACGCCACCGCACCCCAUCUCUCGAAAUCUGCAGACAUCUUGAUUUUUCCCACGCUGUCUGUCAGGUCUCCGCCGCCACUCGACGCCAGGGCGCCGGGUGAGUCCACAGCAGGGCGCAUGGUCGGCUCCACUCUCACCAUCGGGGGAAACUGAGGCCCCGGGGAAGGCGGCCAGAGAGGUCAGGCCCUGUCCUUGGUGCAGUGUCUCGUCCUCUUUGCCGGAGUGAGCCCCCCAGGAUUCGCGUGUCCUCGGGAAAGACACUGGCAGGCCUUGUGGGCUGUGCUGCACCUCGGACGGCUUCGCACCAGCCAGCGCCCUCUCUCUCCUGCAGCACUCUGAUCUGCACCCCCUGAGGGGCUUCCACUGUCCGCGGGGUGAGAAUGCCCCUGGGAGUGUCACAUGACUGCCGCCCCAUGUGUGUGAGAGGCGUCCUCUGGGAGAGCAUGGAUCCUGAGGUCCCAGGAUUGUCAGCUGACCUCUGUCCUGUGUGCCCAGUGGCCCCAGGUGACGUGUCUUCAAGAAGAGGCUGAGCUGCGGUGCUUGUAAGGCAGGGUCUCAUUCUGUCACCCAGGCUGGAGUGCAGUGGUGCAAUGAUGGCUCACUGCAGCCUCGACCUGGGCUCAAGUGAUCCUCCACCUCAGCUUCCUGAGUAGCUGGGACCACAGGUCUCAGCCUUAGAUCCAAGGACAGUCCAAGGAAGUCCUAAGACCAUGGAGUUGGUGAUCUGGGAUCUGGGUUUGCUGAUAUUUCUCACCGUGAAUCUCUUGGUGGUGUUUGUGGGCACGAGAGGGGCAGAGAAUGGAGAGUGAGGCUACCACAUGAAGCGUCACCAGAGCUGCUCCCUGCUGCCUGCUCAGAGCACCCCGGAUCCACUGUUCAAUCUGCACAAGAUUCGGGGUCCAGACAUGGGAGACUUCAGCUGCCUCAGAGGACCGUGGACAGGGAAGGCCAGCCUCGCAUCCCUCUGUCCAUGCCUGGAAUGACUUUAAUAACCAAGAGUUUUAUUUUUGAAUUUGUAGCUGUCGUUCACUUUUUACCCACCCAUUCAAUAAACCUUACAGAAUUGCUCCA